rnacentral:rRNA from 1 species
UACGUAGGGUGCGAGCGUUGUCCGGAAUUAUUGGGCGUAAAGAGCUUGUAGGCGGCUUGUCGCGUCUGCUGUGAAAAUCCGGGGCUCAACCCCGGACUUGCAGUGGGUACGGGCAAACUAGAGUGUGGUAGGGGAGACUGGAAUUCCUGGUGUAGCGGUGAAAUGCGCAGAUAUCAGGAGGAACACCGGCGGCGAAGGCGGGUCUCUGGGACGGUACUGACGCUGAGACGCGAAAGCGUGGGGAGCGAACAGG